UUUGUGAAAUUCAUCCAAACCUCAACUGCAUUUUGUGCAAGUUUCUGCCCAAGUUUCGAUAAACACGUGUAAGUUCAAGUCCCGUAAAGUUUCUGUCCAAAAUUGAAGAAGCUUCUGACCACUGUUGAAAUUCCUCCUGGAGAAAUUGAAUGCUAAGCCUAGGUUGAUAAGAUGGAUGCUUUUGCUUCAAGAAUUUGACAUGGAGAUAUGUGAUAGGAGCAGGAAGAAAAACCUAGUGGCAGGUUAUCUGAGUAGGAUCGAGGGAGAUUUUGAUCACACAACUAUUGCUGAUGCAUUCCAGAUGAGCAACUCCUACAUCUCCAUGGUGAGUCGCCAUGAUAAAGGUAAAGGAAAAGUGGACUAGCAGUGGAG